rnacentral:misc_RNA from 2 species
AACGCACCUUGCGCCUUUUGGUAUUCCAAAAGGCACACCUGUUUGAGUGUCAUGAAACCCUCUCACAAAACAACUUUAUUGUUGCUUUUUUUGUGGAUGUUGAGUGUUGCUAUAUAUUUAUAGCUCACUUUAAAUAUAUAAGUCACACUUUUCAAGUAAGUUGGAUUGACUUGGUGUAAUAAUUUUAUCAUCACAUCAAGGAAAGUAGCAAUACUUGCCAUCUUUUGAAAGGAGGGACUCCUAAAAAACCCCUCAUAACCUUUUUUUAAGACCUCAAAUCAGGUGGGACUACCCGCUGAACUUAA